GACAGAGGAUGCAAGCGUUAUCCGGAAUGAUUGGGCGUAAAGCGUCUGUAGGUGGCUUUUCAAGUCCGCCGUCAAAUCCCAGGGCUCAACCCUGGACAGGCGGUGGAAACUGCCAAGCUGGAGUACGGUAGGGGCAGAGGGAAUUUCCGGUGGAGCGGUGAAAUGCGUAGAGAUCGGAAAGAACACCAACGGCGAAAGCACUCUGCUGGGCCGACACUGACGCUGAGGCGCGAAAGCUAGGGGAGCAAACGGG
rnacentral:rRNA from 1 species